GGGGAUGUAGCACAGAUGGUAGAACACUCGCUUAGCAUGCGAGAGGUCUCGGGAUCGAUCCCCCAUGUCUCCA
rnacentral:tRNA from 1 species